GAUGAACGCUGGCGGCGUGCCUAAUACAUGCAAGUCGAGCGAACAGAUGAGGAUCUUGCUCCUCUGACGUUAUCGGCUGACGUGUGAGUAACACGUGUAUAACCUACCUAUAAUACUUGUAUAACUUCGGGAAACCGGAUCUACUACCGGAUAAUAUAUUGACCCGCUUUGUUCAAUAGUUAAUGACGGUUUUUCUGUCACUUAUAGAUGUAUCCACUCCGCAUUAGCUAGUUGUUAAGGUAACGGCUUACCAAGGCAACGAUUCGUAGCCGACAUGAGAGGGGGAUCGGACACACUGGAACGGAGACACGGAACAGAAUACUACGGGAGGCAGCAGUAGGGAAUAUUCCGCAAUGGGCGAAAGCAUGACGGAGCAAAGCCGCGUGAGUGAUGAAGGUCUUCGGAUCGUAAAACUCUGUUAUUAGGGAAGAACAAAUGUGUAAGUAACUAUGCACGUAUUGACGGUAACUAAUCAGAAAGCAACGGCUAACUACGUG
rnacentral:rRNA from 1 species